CAGUUCAGCCUGGAGGAACAUCUUUUGUGGGAUGUGUUUCCCUGUGGGAUUUACAUUACCCUGCUGGUGCUUGAGGAGCUUCUCCAAGUGACAGAGCCAUGUCCGCCUUUGAACCUUGGAGGGAAAAAUAACAAAAAUGCAUAAAUAAUAUACUGCAAGAAGGGAAUUAGUCUGGUCAGCCUCACUGAGGAUGAAAGGAUGGGAUGCAGGAGUAGGAUGUGGGAAGUCAGAAGAAAAGCUGCAGUGAAGGAUUGACUUGACAAGACCACUUGGAAAAAGAAAAGGAAAGAGGCCCCAUGUCCAUCCAAGGUUGGUGUCUGGGCACACACUUGGCAGCACCAUGGAUAGCUACACCACAGAAACCAGAGCUGUGUGUCAGAUCUGCUCAUUCUGACACCAAAAUCUGCUUUUCCUCCCAAGCUUUUCCUCUCUUUUGUUUGCAACUCAAUCUAGAGGGACCUUCUGACAAGGUACCUUUAUCCAUCAGACUGCCAAGAACUUAAAAACCUCUCAUUUGUUCACUUAAUGAAACGGGCACUGCUGGCUUGGUUGUUUUGGUUUUCUUUGCUCUGAAUAAAUGAUUGCCCCCCA